rnacentral:pre_miRNA from 1 species
AUUAGUCUCUUAAUUAUAAGCGAGUUUGAUUUUAGUCCCUCUGAGAAAAUAUGAUUUUUAGUGGCGGUCAUGUUUACAAUUACUGGCGGUUUUGACCACCACUAAAACGUCAUUUUUCCUUAGAUGGACUAAAAUUAAACUCGCUUACAAACCUAGGGACUAAU